CCGGCGACCGGCGCACGGUGAGUAACACGUAUGCAACCUGGCCGUGACAGAUGGAUAACCGGGAGAAAUCCCGCCUAAUACAACAUAAUGCCGGGAGGGGACAUCCCCUGCCGGUCAAAGGGGGCGACCCCGGUCAUGGAUGGGCAUGCGGCGCAUUAGGUAGUUGGUGGGGCAACGGCCCACCAAGCCGACGAUGCGUAGGGGUUCUGAGAGGAAGGUCCCCCACAUUGGAACUGAGACACGGUCCAAACUCCUACGGAAGGCAGCAG
rnacentral:rRNA from 1 species